AUUCCAGCUCCAAUAGCGUAUAUUAAAGUUGUUGCAGUUAAAAAGCUCGUAGUUGGAUUUGUGGUUGGAGCGGUCGGUCCGACACUCUGUGUGGGUACUUGACCGUCUCCGUCCAUCCUUGGGUGGAACCUGUGUGGCAUUAGGUUGUCGUGCAGGGGAUGCCCAUCUUUUACUGUGAAUAAAUUAGAGUGUUCAAAGCAGGCUUACGCCGUUGAAUAUGCUAGCAUGGAAUAAUAAGAUAGGACCUUGGUACUAUUUUGUUGGUUUGCGCACCGAGGUAAUGAUUAAUAGGGACAGUUGGGGGUAUUCGUAUUGCACUGUCAGAGGUGAAAUUCUUGGAUUUUUGCAAGACGAACGACUGCGAAAGCAUUUACCAAGGAUGUUUUCAUUG
rnacentral:rRNA from 1 species